CCUACGGGUGGCUGCAGUGAGGAAUAUUGGUCAAUGGACGCAAGUCUGAACCAGCCAGGCCGCGUGCAGGAAGACGGCUCUAUGAGUUGUAAACUGCUGUUGUACGAGGGUAAACGCAGAUGCGCGGAUCGGGCUGAAAGUAUCGUACGAAUAAGGAUCGGCUAACUCCGUGCCAGCAGCCGCGGUAAGACGGAGGAUUCAAGCGUUAUCCGGAUUUAUUGGGUUUAAAGGGUGCGUCGGCGGUCGGAUAAGUUAGAGGUCAACUCCCGAGGCUCAACGUCGGAACUGCCUCUGAUACUGUUCGGCUAGAGCGUAGUUGCGGUAGGCGGAAUGUCUGUUGUAGCGGU
rnacentral:rRNA from 1 species